rnacentral:rRNA from 1 species
UGAACGCUAGCGGCAGGCUUAACACAUGCAAGUCGAGGGGCAUCACGGGUAGCAAUACCUGGUGGCGACCGGCGCAAGGGUGCGUAACGCGUGAGCAACAUGCCCUAUACAGGGGGAUAAUCCAGGGAAACUUGGUCUAAUAUCCCAUAGCAUUUAGAGGUGGCAUCACCAUUAAAUUAAAGCUUCGGUGGUAUAGGAUUGGCUCGCGUGACAUUAGCUGGAUGGUGGGGUAACGGCUCACCAUGGCUAUGAUGUCUAGGGGUUCUGAGAGGAAGACCCCCCACACUGGGACUGAGACACGGCCCAGACUCCUACGGGAGGCAGCAGUGAGGAAUAUUGGACAAUGGAUGGAAAUCUGAUCCAGCCAUGCCGCGUGCAGGAAGACGGCCCUAUGGGUUGUAAACUGCUUUUAUAUGGGAGCAAUAAGGUCUACGAGUAGACCGAUGAGAGUACCAUAUGAAUAAGCAUCGGCUAACUCCGUG